rnacentral:rRNA from 1 species
GACAGGUGGUGCAUGGCUGUCGUCAGCUCGUGUCGUGAGAUGUUGGGUUAAGUCCCGCAACGAGCGCAACCCACGUCUUUAGUUGCCAGCAUUGAGUUGGGCACUCUAGAGAGACCGCCGGUGAUAAACCGGAGGAAGGUGUGGAUGACCUCAAGUCAUCAUGCCCCUUACAUCCUGGGCUACACACGUACUACAAUGCUACGGACAAAGAGCAGCAAGUUCGCGAGGACAAGCAAAUCUCAUAAACCGUGGCUCAGUUCAGAUCGUAGGCUGCAACUCGCCUACGUGAAGGAGGAAUCGCUAGUAAUCGCAGGUCAGCAUACUGCGGUGAAUACGUUCCCGGG